AUCCCUGAAAACCGGUCUCAGUUCGGAUCGCAGUCUGCAACUCGACUGCGUGAAGGUGGAGUCGCUAGUAAUCGCGGAUCAGCAACGCCGCGGUGAAUGCGUUCCCGGGCCUUGUACACACCGCCCGUCAAGUCAUGAAAGUGGGCAGCACCCGAAGACGGUGGCCUAACCCUUGUGGGGGGAGCCGUCUAAGGUGAGGCUCGUGAUUGGGACUAAGUCGUAACAAGGUAUC
rnacentral:rRNA from 1 species